AUUGAACGCUGGCGGCAGGCCUAACACAUGCAAGUCGAACGAGUGGCGGACGGGUGAGUAAUGUCUGGGAAACUGCCUGAUGGAGGGGGAUAACUACUGGAAACGGUAGCUAAUACCGCAUACCCUCAGAUGUGCCCAGAUGGGAUUAGCGUGUUGGGGGGGUAACGGCUAACCAAGGCGACGAUCCCUAGCUGGUCUGAGAGGAUGACCAGCCACACUGGAACUGAGACCCGGCCCAGCCUCCUACGGGGGGCAGCAUUGGGGAAUAUUGCACAAGGGGCGCAAGCCGGAUGCAGCCAUGCGGCGUGUAUGAAGAAGGCCUUCGGUUUGUAAAGUACUUUCAUCGGGGAGGCGUUACCCGAAGAAGAAGCACCGGCUAACUCCGUGCCAGCAGCCGCGGUAAUAC
rnacentral:rRNA from 1 species